GCUGGCGGCGUGCUUUACACAUGCAAGUCGAGCGAGGCGGCCCGCAAGGGCUAGUCGAGCGGCGAACGGGUGAGUAACGCGUGGAUAACCUGCCCUGAGGUGGGGGAUAACCAGGGGAAACUCUGGCUAAUACCGCAUGAUACCGAGAGGUCAAAGGGGGCUCGCAAGGGCUCCCGCCAUAGGAGGGGUCCGCGUCCGAUUAGCUAGUUGGUAGGGUAAUGGCCUACCAAGGCUACGAUCGGUAGCCGGCCUGAGAGGGUGAUCGGCCACACUGGAACUGAGACACGGUCCAGACUCCUACGGGAGGCAGCAGUGGGGAAUUUUGCGCAAUGGGCUAACGCCUGACGCAGCAACGCCGCGUGGAGGAUGAAGGUCUUUGGAUUGUAAACUCCUGUCAGCAGGGAAAAAGCGAAUCGGUCUAAUACACCGGUGAGUUGAUUGUACCUGCAGAGGAAGCCCCGGCUAACUCUGUGCCAGCAGCCGCGGUAAUACAGAGGGGGCAAGCGUUAUUCGGAAUUAUUGGGCGUAAAGGGCGCGUAGGCGGCUUGGCAAGUGGAAGGUGAAAUCCCUCGGCUUAACCGA
rnacentral:rRNA from 1 species